rnacentral:rRNA from 1 species
CGCUUAGGCGUGUGACUGCGUACCUUUUGUAUAAUGGGUCAGCGACUUAUAUUCUGUAGCAAGGUUAACCGAAUAGGGGAGCCGAAGGGAAACCGAGUCUUAACUGGGCGUUAAGUUGCAGGGUAUAGACCCGAAACCCGGUGAUCUAGCCAUGGGCAGGUUGAAGGUUGGGUAACACUAACUGGAGGACCGAACCGACUAAUGUUGAAAAAUUAGCGGAUGACUUGUGGCUGGGGGUGAAAGGCCAAUCAAACCGGGAGAUAGCUGGUUCUCCCCGAAAGCUAUUUAGGUAGCGCCUCGUGAAUUCAUCUCCGGGGGUAGAGCACUGUUUCGGCAAGGGGGUCAUCCCGACUUACCAACCCGAUGCAAACUGCGAAUACCGGAGAAUGUUAUCACGGGAGACACACGGCGGGUGCUAACGUCCGUCGUGAAGAGGGAAACAACCCAGACCGCCAGCUAAGGUCCCAAAGUCAUGGUUAAGUGGGAAACGAUGUGGGAAGGCCCAGACAGCCAGGAUGUUGGCUUAGAAGCAGCCAUCAUUUAAAGAAAGCGUAAUAGCUCACUGGUCGAGUCGGCCUGCGCGGAAGAUGUAACGGGGCUAAACCAUGCACCGAAGCUGCGGCAGCGACGCUUAUGCGUUGUUGGGUAGGGGAGCGUUCUGUAAGCCUGUGAAGGUGUGCUGUGAGGCAUGCUGGAGGUAUCAGAAGUGCGAAUGCUGACAUAAGUAACGAUAAAGCGGGUGAAAAGCCCGCUCGCCGGAAGACCAAGGGUUCCUGUCCAACGUUAAUCGGGGCAGGGUGAGUCGACCCCUAAGGCGAGGCCGAAAGGCGUAGUCGAUGGGAAACAGGUUAAUAUUCCUGUACUUGGUGUUACUGCGAAGGGGGGACGGAGAAGGCUAUGUUGGCCGGGCGACGGUUGUCCCGGUUUAAGCGUGUAGGCUGGUUUUCCAGGCAAAUCCGGAAAAUCAAGGCUGAGGCGUGAUGACGAGGCACUACGGUGCUGAAGCAACAAAUGCCCUGCUUCCAGGAAAAGCCUCUAAGCAUCAGGUAACAUCAAAUCGUACCCCAAACCGACACAGGUGGUCAGGUAGAGAAUACCAAGGCGCUUGAGAGAACUCGGGUGAAGGAACUAGGCAAAAUGGUGCCGUAACUUCGGGAGAAGGCACGCUGAUAUGUAGGUGAAGCGACUUGCUCGUGGAGCUGAAAUCAGUCGAAGAUACCAGCUGGCUGCAACUGUUUAUUAAAAACACAGCACUGUGCAAACACGAAAGUGGACGUAUACGGUGUGACGCCUGCCCGGUGCCGGAAGGUUAAUUGAUGGGGUCAGCGCAAGCGAAGCUCUUGAUCGAAGCCCCGGUAAACGGCGGCCGUAACUAUAACGGUCCUAAGGUAGCGAAAUUCCUUGUCGGGUAAGUUCCGACCUGCACGAAUGGCGUAAUGAUGGCCAGGCUGUCUCCACCCGAGACUCAGUGAAAUUGAACUCGCUGUGAAGAUGCAGUGUACCCGCGGCAAGACGGAAAGACCCCGUGAACCUUUACUAUAGCUUGACACUGAACAUUGAGCCUUGAUGUGUAGGAUAGGUGGGAGGCUUAGAAGUGUGGACGCCAGUCUGCAUGGAGCCGACCUUGAAAUACCACCCUUUAAUGUUUGAUGUUCUAACGUUGACCCGUAAUCCGGGUUGCGGACAGUGUCUGGUGGGUAGUUUGACUGGGGCGGUCUCCUCCUAAAGAGUAACGGAGGAGCACGAAGGUUGGCUAAUCCUGGUCGGACAUCAGGAGGUUAGUGCAAUGGCAUAAGCCAGCUUGACUGCGAGCGUGACGGCGCGAGCAGGUGCGAAAGCAGGUCAUAGUGAUCCGGUGGUUCUGAAUGGAAGGGCCAUCGCUCAACGGAUAAAAGGUACUCCGGGGAUAACAGGCUGAUACCGCCCAAGAGUUCAUAUCGACGGCGGUGUUUGGCACCUCGAUGUCGGCUCAUCACAUCCUGGGGCUGAAGUAGGUCCCAAGGGUAUGGCUGUUCGCCAUUUAAAGUGGUACGCGAGCUGGGUUUAGAACGUCGUGAGACAGUUCGGUCCCUAUCUGCCGUGGGCGCUGGAGAACUGAGGGGGGCUGCUCCUAGUACGAGAGGACCGGAGUGGACGCAUCACUGGUGUUCGGGUUGUCAUGCCAAUGGCACUGCCCGGUAGCUAAAUGCGGAAGAGAUAAGUGCUGAAAGCAUCUAAGCACGAAACUUGCCCCGAGAUGAGUUCUCCCUGACCCUUUAAGGGUCCUGAAGGAACGUUGAAGACGACGACGUUGAUAGGCCGGGUGUGUAAGCGCAGCGAUGCGUUGAGCUAACCGGUACUAAUGAACCGUGAGGCUUAACCUU